rnacentral:rRNA from 1 species
AACGAACGCUGGCGGCGUGGAUUAGGCAUGCAAGUCGAACGCGAAAGAGGGGGCAACCCCUCAAGUAGAGUGGCGAACGGGUGAGUAACGCGUGAAGAACCUGCCUUCAACAGGGGGAUAACACUCCCAACGGGGUGCUAAUACCGCAUGAGACCACGGAUCCGCAUGGAUCUGAGGUCAAGGGUGGCCUCUGCUUGCAAGCUACCGGUUGAAGAUGGCUUCGCGUCCCA